ensembl:lncRNA
GGGGAAUCUAAAAUUUGGAUUUUCGUCUCUUGACAGGAGGGGACUGGGCCUGAGAAAUCUGGAGGUCGUUGGUAAGUUAUCACGGGGGGCAAAGGGCUCUUUCGUCCUUUCACAGAACUCCCACCAAUCUCCUGACUGAUCCUAAGUCCUUCCUUAGCGGCUUGAUUUCCCGUGGCGCCCUUCUCUUCUCCUGAAGGCAACAGACAGAAACACAUGAUGAGUAAUGGGUAAAACGGAGAAGAAUGCCUUGUUCCUAUAUUCGUUGCUCUUUGGGUUGUACUUCACCAGCGUCUGGACAGCUCCUCCACUCCCAUAGACCUCCUAGGUAAGUACAAAGUAACACACAAGUCCCUGAGGGCACAGGUAAGUAACAGAGGUAAGGAUGUAGCAAGGUAACUAGGUCAUUCCCCUGGAUGUACACCGGUGUAUUCGAAGCGAGUAACUUUUAACUCGUAGCACAGAUAGGUAUUGAGCAAGGUGACUGACUCUUCACACUGGGCUUACAGGGCGUAUUCAAGGUCAAUAGCUUUUAGCGCGUGCAGACAGGUAUGUAUUCAACAAAGUGACUGUAUCUUCACGCUGGGCUUACAGGGCGUAUUCAAGGUCAAUAGCUUUUAGCUCGUGCAGACAGGUAAGUAUUCAACAAAGUGACUGUAUCUUCACGCUGGGCUUACAGGGCGUAUUCAAGAUCAAUAACUUUUAGCUUUCCCCACAAUAUCCACACAAUACCUUGUUUUGCAUUCACGCUUCACCUCCUUCAGGCUAGGUACGGGGAACGGAGUUAUAGGCGGGCGUAGGUGGGAUAGGUGGGCAUCGCCACGGCAGCCUACGUUCUCUCCAACAGGAACUUUUCUCGGCCUGGAGGGCGAGUACAGACAACAGGGACACGGCACAGCACUGCAAAACUUCGGUGUACACACGUCAAAGACAGACUCACCCACUGCACUACACACACUUCAGUGACUUUUAAGGUCGGUACUCCACGCCCGGUCGGAUUUCGUCCUGGAGGAGUUUACAGUCGCUGGCACGGUAAGUGCUCCAAACUUUACGGUGUGGCCACAGCCAAAUAACAUCCAUUCACCCCCACUCUACUUCGGCUCACCCACUCGUCUCGUCCUCCACGAUGGGGCCACUCAACAAGCUGUUAAUCACUCCAGCAGAUAUUAGUUAUCCAUAUCCAAGUAUGAGCAAUGAUAUGUAAACAAUCCAAUGUACU